ensembl:lncRNA
UUGAGGGGACAGCAAAUGUACACUGUUAUACAAGCUGUACACUCAUUACUUCACAUUGUAGCAAAGUGUCAUUUCUUCAGUGUUGUCACAUGAAAAGAUAUAAUCAAAUAUUUACAAAAAUGUGAGGAGUGUACUCACUUUUGUGACAUACUGUAUGUCCAAGUGGUCUAGGGCAAAGUUAAACCAGGCAGUUUGUUUCUUUGAUGGCACAUCAUUCCAUCUAGCAACCCUCCAACGACUGCCUUUUCGAUUCAGUGUUUUUCUUAUUGUUGAAGCAAGCCCGGUAACCUGAGAUGUAGCAAGGGAGGUCUGGAAAUCUCCAGAUGUUAUGUUUGGGUUUGCAUUUGCCUUCCUUUUCGGAAUAUUUUGGAAGGGCGUCCACUUCUAGGCCAAGUUGCUCUCAUGUUAAAAGCGUUCCAUUUGUUUGCCUCAUAUAUAGUGGACUGAUGGAGCUCAAAUGUUUUUUAGCUGAUUAUAUAUCUUUCUGUUUCUCUCGACUGAUGUGCUCUUAUUACUCUUCAAGCAGCACUUUGCCAAGAUGCGUUGUUGACCUGGGGGAUGCUGUUGCCUGGGUAAAUGCCAACACGGGCCUCUUCUGAGACCGGGUACAAGUCCUCACCCCUGAAUGAUGAGGAAAUACAGGGUGCUGUGCAGAUGCUCAGAGAGGCAGAACAAGAAGCUUUCUCCCCAUUCAUGUUUUUGUUUAAUAAUUUUGAAGACACUGAAACAUUCAUGGAUGAAAUAGACAAAAGAGGUGAUUUUAUGUGAUAAUCUUGAGCACCCCUCAUCAUCUUUUGAAUGCCCCCUGGGGGGUGGUACUGUAGUAUGAGGGAUAAAGGUAAACCCCUUUGAAUGCUAUACUGAGUGGAAAGGUUAGGAAAAUUGUGCAGGGAGAAUCUACAGCGGAUAUAAAAGGUCUACACACCCCUGUUAAAAUGCCAUGUUUUUGUGAUGGAAAAGAAUGAGACAAAGAUAAAUCAUGUCAGAACCUUUUCCACUUUUAAUGUGACGUAUAAUGUGAACAAUUCAAUUAAA